GAUGAACGCUAGCGAUAGGCUUAACACAUGCAAGUCGAGGGGCAGCAUGGUCUUAGCUUGCUAAGACUGAUGGCGACCGGCGCACGGGUGCGUAACGCGUAUGCAACUUGCCUCACAGAGGGGGAUAACCCGUCGAAAGACGGACUAAUACCGCGUACACUUGGGAUAGGGCAUCCUGACCCAAGGAAAUGAAAUUCGCUGUGAGAUAGGCAUGCGUCCCAUUAGCUAGUUGGUGAGGUAACGGCUCACCAAGGCGACGAUGGGUAGGGGAACUGAGAGGUGGAGCCCCCACACUGGUACUGAGACACGGACCAGACUCCUACGGGAGGCAGCAGUGAGGAAUAUUGGUCAAUGGGCGAGAGCCUGAACCAGCCAAGUCGCGUGAAGGAUGACUGUCUUAUGGAUUGUAAACUUCUUUUAUACGGGAAUAACAAGAGUCACGUGUGGCUCCCUGCAUGUACCGUAUGAAUAAGCAUCGGCUAACUCCGUG
rnacentral:rRNA from 1 species